GGCCGCGUGGCGCAUUGGUUAUGCAUUUAGCUUCUCUCCAUGAAGAGCGUAGGUUUAAACCCUGCCGUGGCUA